UUGGGAGAAAUAUGGCCGAAACAAAAGCAUGACACACAAUAUUUACAUUCAUCACUGAAUAAAUUUUAGUAGUUUCAAUAUUCCACAAUGUGUUACAUAAUGUAUGCAUUUUUUUUCAAAUCAAGCUUCGGCGCCGACUCUCCAGGACGCUCAGCGUACCUCUGACCUUGAUUUUAGGAAAUCUAAUUAGUUGCAUGCAGCCGAUAAAUAAGGGUACGAGAGUCUGCUAAUUUGCCUAAAAAAACUAGAAUUACGCUUUUCAUUUGAGUCGAUUUGAGCAAAAUCUCAGAUCAAAGGCCAUAAAAUACGAUAUAGCAAGCUAAGAAAAAGUCGGAAGGUUGGAAUUGAUAAGAAAUGGCUAAACACGGAAUAUACUGUAUACUCCCUCCAUC
rnacentral:lncRNA from 1 species